rnacentral:rRNA from 1 species
UACGUAGGGUGCGAGCGUUGUCCGGAAUUAUUGGGCGUAAAGAGCUUGUAGGCGGUCUGUCGCGUCUGCUGUGAAAAUCCGGGGCUCAACCCCGGACUUGCAGUGGGUACGGGCAGACUAGAGGUGUGGUAGGGGAGACUGGAAUUCCUGGUGUAGCGGUGAAAUGCGCAGAUAUCAGGAGGAACACCGAGUGGCGAAGGC